rnacentral:lncRNA from 1 species
AUGUCACUGGUUCUCAUCCACAAUUUGAGUAGCAAGAGCCCUGGACAACUUUCAGGAAGACAGUUCUGAUCUGUAGCAAUUAACACGUGGUCAUCCUCAGAAAAAGGGUAACGCAGGUGCCACUUGACCUAACAGAAUCUUAUACAUGCCAAUAAUGUGAAGGCUUGAUGGGUGUUUGUACUUAGUCCUCUCAAUUAUUUCCCAGAGAUACCCAUAACUUAAAAUGCAGGAACCAAGAGAUUUGAGCCUAGACAUUUGGAUGAAAAGUGAUUUCCACCUGGAGAAAGUCACUGCCCUUCUGUGCAGAGUACCAUUGUGUCUUGACUCCAGCUUGGCCACAAGGAAAUGGGGUGAGACUUUGUCAUGUGUGUCGCUGAAGUUCAGCUAUGCAAAAAUGUUCACCUAUCCUUGAUCAACCAGUCCAGGAACCAUCAAAGAAGAAAAUGAGAUUCGACUUAGAAGACCUGUUCUUUAUAAACCCCUGCACAGCCCUAAUGAUCAAUACCACUUCCGGUGCUCAUAAAUUACUGCUUCAGUAAUUGUUCUGC